UUCCUUCGGGGAUGGUGAAAGUGGCAGACGGGUGAGUAACGCGUGGGAACCUGCCCCAAGGUAGGGAAUAACCGCGGGAAACUGCGGCUAAUACCCUAUGCGCCCUACGGGGCAAAGAUUUAUCGCCUUGGGAGGGGCCUGCGUCGGAUUAGGUAGUUGGUAGGGUAACGGCCUACCAAGCCUACGAUCCGUAGCUGGUCUGAGAGGAUGAUCAGCCACACUGGGACUGAGAUACGGCCCAGACUCCUACGGGAGGCAGCAGUGGGGAAUAUUGGACAAUGGGGGCAACCCUGAUCCAGCAAUGCCGCGUGAGUGAUGAAGGCCUUCGGGUUGUAAAGCUCUUUCGGCGGGGAAGAUGAUGACGGUACCCGCAGAAGAAGCCCCGGCUAACUUCGUGCCAGCAGCCGCGGUAAUACGAAGGGGGCUAGCGUUGUUCGGAAUUACUGGGCGUAAAGGGCGCGUAGGCUGUGCUGUAAGUCAGGCGUGAAAUCCCCGGGCUCAACCUGGGAAUUGCGCAUGAUACUGCGGCGCUGGAAGGCGGGAGAGGAUGGCGGAAUUCCCAGUGUAGAGGUGAAAUUCGUAGAUAUUGGGAAGAACACCGGUGGCGAAGGCGGCCAUCUGGCCCGCAAUUGACGCUGAGGCGCGAAAGCGUGGGGAGCAAACAGGAUUAGAUACCCUGGUAGUCCACGCUGUAAACGAUGAGUGCUAGACGUCGGGGGGCUUGCUCUUCGGUGUCGACGCUAACGCAUUAAGCACUCCGCCUGGGGAGUACGGUCGCAAGAUUAAAACUCAAAGGAAUUGAC
rnacentral:rRNA from 1 species